CAGUGAGGGGCACCUCGAGGACUGUCUAACCUGAGAAUGGUGAAACAUCAAGGUCAAUCUCAGGUUCGUCAGCCCAUGAGAUGCCUUCUCCAG
rfam:Taeniopygia guttata chromosome 20, whole genome shotgun sequence.